GAUGAACGCUGGCGGCGUGCCUAAUACAUGCAAGUCGAGCGAACAGAUGAGGAGCUUGCUCCUCUGACGUUAGCGGCGGACGGGUGAGUAACACGUGGAUAACCUACCUAUAAGACUGGGAUAACCUCGGGAAACCGGAGCUAAUACCGGAUAAUAUAUUGAACCGCAUGGUUCAAUAGUGAAAGACGGUUUUGCUGUCACUUAUAGAUGGAUCCGCGCCGCAUUAGCUAGUUGGUAAGGUAACGGCUUACCAAGGCAACGAUGCGUAGCCGACCUGAGAGGGGGAUCGGCCACACUGGAACUGAGACACGGUCCAGACUCCUACGGGAGGCAGCAGUAGGGAAUCUUCCGCAAUGGGCGAAAGCCUGACGGAGCAACGCCGCGUGAGUGAUGAAGGUCUGCGGAUCGUAAAACUCUGUUAUUAGGGAAGAACAAAUGUGUAAGUAACUAUGCACGUCUUGACGGUACCUAAUCAGAAAGCCACGGCUAACUACGU
rnacentral:rRNA from 1 species